UUUGAUCAUGGCUCAGGACGAACGCUGGCGGCGUGCUUAACACAUGCAAUUUCGAGCGAUGAGAUCACUUCGGUGAAGGAUUAGCGGCGAACGGGUGAGGAACACGUGAAGAAUCUGCCUUCAACUCUGGGAUAACUCCGGGAAACCGGGGCUAAUACCGGAUAUGAGCCUUGAUCGCAUGAUCGGGGCUGGAAAGUUUUUCGGUUGAAGAUGACUUCGCGGCCUAUCAGCUUGUUGGUGAGGUAAUGGCUCACCAAGGCGACGACGGGUAGCCGGCCUGAGAGGGCGACCGGCCACACUGGGACUGAGACACGGCCCAGACUCCUACGGGAGGCAGCAGUGGGGAAUAUUGGGCAAUGGAGGAAACUCUGACCCAGCGACGCCGCGUGCGGGAUGAAGGCCUUCGGGUUGUAAACCGCUUUCAGCAGGGAAUAAGCGCAAGUGAAGGUACCUGCAGAAGAAGCACCGGCUAACUAUGUGCCAGCAGCCGCGGUAAUACAUAGGGUGCAAGCGUUGUCCGGAAUUAUUGGGCGUAAAGAGCUCGUAGGUGGUUUGUUACGUCGGUUGUGAAAUUCAGGGGCUCAACCCCUGACUUGCAGCCGAUACGGGCAAGCUAGAGUUUGGUAGGGGAGACUGGAAUUCCUGGUGUAGCGGUGGAAUGCGCAGAUAUCAGGAGGAACACCGAUGGCGAAGGCAGGUCUCUGGGCCAAUACUGACACUGAGGAGCGAAAAGCGUGGGGAGCGAACAGGAUUAGAUACCCUGGUAGUCCACGCCGUAAACGGUGGGCGCUAGUUGUGCGAACCUUCCACGGUUUGUGCGACGCAGCUAACGCAUUAAGCGCCCCGCCUGGGGGAGUACGAUCGCAAGAUUAAAACUCAAAGGAAUUGACGGGGCCCCGCACAAGCAGCGGA
rnacentral:rRNA from 1 species